CAGACAUACAGCAUAAAUGUAUCAAGGACAAAAAAUAUCUUCUGAAUGCAGCCGUCAGCGAGCCAUUGAAUGUCCUGUAGCAAAGGCAUUCUGGUGACGUGGACAACAUCACAUUUGAAACAGCAAAUGUGAACCAGACACCCAUGUGGUCACCACCGACAUGAAAAACAGCACUUGCUGACAUGGCAGCAGACUCCCGCCAAGCCACCACACUGC
rnacentral:lncRNA from 1 species